UACGAAGGGGGCUAGCGUUGCUCGGAAUUACUGGGCGUAAAGGGCGCGUAGGCGGACAGUUUAGUCAGAGGUGAAAGCCCAGGGCUCAACCUUGGAAUUGCCUUUGAUACUGACUGUCUUGAGUACGGGAGAGGUGUGUGGAACUCCGAGUGUAGAGGUGAAAUUCGUAGAUAUUCGGAAGAACACCAGUGGCGAAGGCGACCCACUGGCCCGUUACUGACGCUGAGGCUCGAAAGCGUGGGGAGCAAACAGG
rnacentral:rRNA from 1 species